GAACCGAGCGAACGUUGUUCGGAAUCACUGGGCUUAAAGGGCGCGUAGGCGGGCUGUCAAGUCUGGGGUGAAAUCCCACGGCUCAACCGUGGAACUGCCUUAGAUACUGACGGCCUCGAGGGAGGUAGGGGCGUGCGGAACUGUGAGUGGAGCGGUGAAAUGCGUUGAUAUUCACAGGAACUCCGGUGGCGAAAGCGGCGCGCUGGACCUCUUCUGACGCUGAGGCGCGAAAGCUAGGGGAGCAAACGGGAUUAGAUACCCCGGUAGUCCUAGCCCUAAACGAUGGGUACUAGGUAGUAGACUAGAUAUGGGUUUACUGCCGAAGCUAAAGUGCUAAGUACCCCGCCUGGGGAGUAUGGUCGCAAGGCUGAA
rnacentral:rRNA from 1 species